rnacentral:misc_RNA from 1 species
AAUGUCGUAACAAGGUUUCCGUAGGUGAACCUGCGGAAUGGAUCAUUACUGGGUCAUAGGACGCUCCGGCGCCUGACACCCCAUUGCCUUUCGUCGCUUUCAGCCUUCAGCUGCGUCAAAUGGCUAAGGCCCUCCAUGUUUGUUCCAUGAGGGCCCCAUUGCCGAACGCAACCCUGAACAACGAUGCAGCCUGAAUGUAAAAAGGUCAAAUUGAGUUAAAAGC